CUAUACAUGACUCUGCGCAUAUCAAUAAGCGGAGGAAAAGAAACUAACAAGGAUUCCCCUAGUAACGGCGAGUGAAGCGGGAAGAGCUCAAAUUUGAAAUCUUAAAGGGUUUCCCUUUACGAAUUGUAGUUUAAAGAAGUGUUUUCUGUUGAGGUUUUGGUAAAAGUUCUUUGGAAUAGGACAUCAUAGAGGGUGAGAAUCCCGUAUUUGACCUUUACUUUCAACUCUUGUGAUACACUUUCAAAGAGUCGGAUUGUUUGGGAAUGCAGUCCAAAAUGGGUGGUAAAUUUCAUCUAAAGCUAAAUAUUGGCGAGAGACCGAUAGCGAACAAGUACCGUGAGGGAAAGAUGAAAAGAACUUUGAAAAGAGAGUUAAACAGUACGUGAAAUUGUCAAAAGGGAAGCGUUUGACACCAGUGUUGUUUUCUCUGAAAAUCAAUUAAAGAACUGUUUAUGCUAAGUUGUUUAGACUUUAUCAGCUAUCUGUUUAGUUUUGAGCUUUUCUUUAAUGCACUUUUCAGUUAACAAGUCAACAUCAAUUUCUUUUGCUGUAAAAAAGCUUGAGGAAGGUGGCUUGAGAUUCGUCUUAAGUGUUUAUAGCCUCUUGCCUAUGCAGUCGGAGAGAUUGAGGUCUGCAGCGUAGAUCCUUCGGGGCUAAAUGCAUUUGUGCUAAGUUAUAGCAUUUUAUAGACAACUUGUUGACUAUGAUCUGUCUUGUAGCUUACUCGCUUAUGUUAUUUUACCUACGCUUAGGAUGUUGACAGCAGUAUAGACUGU
rnacentral:rRNA from 1 species